UACGGGGGGGGGCAAGCGUUGUUCGGAAUUACUGGGCGUAAAGGGCUCGUAGGCGGCCAACUAAGUCAGACGUGAAAUCCCUCGGCUUAACCGGGGAACUGCGUCUGAUACUGGAUGGCUUGAAUCCGGGAGAGGGAUGCGGAAUUCCAGGUGUAGCGGUGAAAUGCGUAGAUAUCUGGAGGAACACCGGUGGCGAAGGCAGGUCUCUGGGCCACUACUGACGCUGAGAAGCGAAAGCAUGGGGAGCGAACAGG
rnacentral:rRNA from 1 species